rnacentral:rRNA from 1 species
CUGGGGGGAGGGCUAAACAUGCAAGUCGAGCGGUAGCACAGAGAGCUUGCUCUCGGGUGACGAGCGGCGGACGGGUGAGUAAUGUCUGGGAAACUGCCUGAUGGAGGGGGAUAACUACUGGAAACGGUAGCUAAUACCGCAUAACGUCGCAAGACCAAAGUGGGGGACCUUCGGGCCUCAUGCCAUCAGAUGUGCCCAGAUGGGAUUAGCUAGUAGGUGGGGUAACGGCUCACCUAGGCGACGAUCCCUAGCUGGUCUGAGAGGAUGACCAGCCACACUGGAACUGAGACACGGUCCAGACUCCUACGGGAGGCAGCAGUGGGGAAUAUUGCACAAUGGGCGCAAGCCUGAUGCAGCCAUGCCGCGUGUGUGAAGAAGGCCUUCGGGUUGUAAAGCACUUUCAGCGGGGAGGAAGGCGUUAAGGUUAAUAACCUUGUCGAUUGACGUUACCCGCAGAAGAAGCACCGGCUAACUCCGUGCCAGCAGCCGCGGUAAUACGGAGGGUGCAAGCGUUAAUCGGAAUUACUGGGCGUAAAGCGCACGCAGGCGGUCUGUCAAGUCGGAUGUGAAAUCCCCGGGCUCAACCUGGGAACUGCAUUCGAAACUGGCAGGCUAGAGUCUUGUAGAGGGGGGUAGAAUUCCAGGUGUAGCGGUGAAAUGCGUAGAGAUCUGGAGGAAUACCGGUGGCGAAGGCGGCCCCCUGGACAAAGACUGACGCUCAGGUGCGAAAGCGUGGGGAGCAAACAGGAUUAGAUACCCUGGUAGUCCACGCCGUAAACGAUGUCGAUUUGGAGGUUGUGCCCUUGAGGCGUGGCUUCCGGAGCUAACGCGUUAAAUCGACCGCCUGGGGAGUACGGCCGCAAGGUUAAAACUCAAAUGAAUUGACGGGGGCCCGCACAAGCGGUGGAGCAUGUGGUUUAAUUCGAUGCAACGCGAAGAACCUUACCUGGUCUUGACAUCCACAGAACUUUCCAGAGAUGGAUUGGUGCCUUCGGGAACUGUGAGACAGGUGCUGCAUGGCUGUCGUCAGCUCGUGUUGUGAAAUGUUGGGUUAAGUCCCGCAACGAGCGCAACCCUUAUCCUUUGUUGCCAGCGGUUAGGCCGGGAACUCAAAGGAGACUGCCAGUGAUAAACUGGAGGAAGGUGGGGAUGACGUCAAGUCAUCAUGGCCCUUACGACCAGGGCUACACACGUGCUACAAUGGCAUAUACAAAGAGAAGCGACCUCGCGAGAGCAAGCGGACCUCAUAAAGUAUGUCGUAGUCCGGAUUGGAGUCUGCAACUCGACUCCAUGAAGUCGGAAUCGCUAGUAAUCGUAGAUCAGAAUGCUACGGUGAAUACGUUCCCGGGCCUUGUACACACCGCCCGUCACACCAUGGGAGUGGGUUGCAAAAGAAGUAGGUAGCUUAACCUUCGGGAGGGCGCUACCCACUUUGGUUCCGG